GGAGACUGGCAAACAGCCAGGAAAGACAAAGAGCAGCCACCCAGGUGGAGCCGGUGCUGGUGGUGUGCUCUGAAAGAAGGGCAGGAACUGGACUUUCAGGGAGCGAGCUCUGGAAGGCUAGCAGCCAAGGUAAGCUCUCUCAGAGCCAGAGCAUCAAAGCCGCACAAGUGGAGCUGGCACUGUUGCAGCAGCAGAAAUAGGGCUGUCCAAGCUGGGAUGAAAUGAGAAUAAUCAAAGUCUCAUUAGUUCUGGAAAGCUUCAAACUCCAUCAUGCUGCCAAGACUUCACUAUAAGAAAUGGGCCUGGCUGACAUUGUCUUCACAAACAACCUCUACUGCAUUUUGUGAUCAACACUUCUACUUAUCAGUACUAAAGAGUAAGGGUGAAAUAAAUCCAAUGGCAAAACUCCCAAU